AUUGAACGCUGGCGGCAUGCCUUACACAUGCAAGUCGAACGGCAGCACGGGUGCUUGCACCUGGUGGCGAGUGGCGAACGGGUGAGUAAUACAUCGGAACGUACCUUAUCGUGGAGGAUAACGCAGCGAAAGCUGUGCUAAUACCGCAUACGCCCUGAGGGGGAAAGCGGGGGAUCGCAAGACCUCGCGCGAUUAGAGCGGCCGAUGCCUGAUUAGCUUGUUGGUGGGGGAAAAGCCCACCAAGGCGACGAUCAGUAGCUGGUCUGAGAGGACGAUCAGCCACACUGGGACUGAGACACGGCCCAGACUCCUACGGGAGGCAGCAGUGGGGAAUUUUGGACAAUGGGGGCAACCCUGAUCCAGCAAUGCCGCGUGAGUGAAGAAGGCCUUCGGGUUGUAAAGCUCUUUUGUCAGGGAAGAAACACCGGCUCUAACACAGUCUGGGAAUGACGGUACCUGAAGAAUAAGCACCGGCUAACUACGUGCCAGCAGCCGCGGUAA
rnacentral:rRNA from 1 species